rnacentral:rRNA from 1 species
GAUGAACGCUAGCGGGAGGCCUAACACAUGCAAGCCGAGCGGUAUUGUUUCUUCGGAAAUGAGAGAGCGGCGUACGGGUGCGGAACACGUGUGCAACCUGCCUUUAUCUGGGGGAUAGCCUUUCGAAAGGAAGAUUAAUACUCCAUAACAUAUUGAACGGCAUCGUUUAAUAUUGAAAGCUCCGGCGGAUAGAGAUGGGCACGCGCAAGAUUAGCUAGUUGGUGAGGUAACGGCUCACCAAGGCGAUGAUCUUUAGGGGGCCUGAGAGGGUGAUCCCCCACACUGGUACUGAGACACGGACCAGACUCCUACGGGAGGCAGCAGUGAGGAAUAUUGGUCAAUGGGUGCAAGCCUGAACCAGCCAUCCCGCGUGAAGGACGACUGCCCUAUGGGUUGUAAACUUCUUUUGUAUAGGGAUAAACCUACCCUCGUGAGGGUAGCUGAAGGUACUAUACGAAUAAGCACCGGCUAACUCCGUGCCAGCAGCCGCAGUAAUAC